rnacentral:rRNA from 1 species
GAUGAACGCUGGCGGCGUGCCUAAUACAUGCAAGUCGAGCGAACAGAUGAUGAGCUUGCUCCUCUGACGUUAGCGGCGGACGGGUGAGUAACACGUGGAGAACCUACCUAUAAGACUGGGAUAAAUUCGGGAAACCGGAGCUAAUACCGGAGAAUAUAUUGAACAGCAUGGUUCAAUAGUGAAAGACGGUUUUGCUGUCACUUAUAGAUGGAUCCGCGCCGCAUUAGCUAGUUGGUAAGGUAACGGCUUACGAAGGCAACGAUGCGUAGCCGACCUGAGAGGGUGAUAGGCGACCCUGGAACUGAGACACGGUCCAGACUCCUACGGGAGGAAGCAGUAGGGAAUCUUACGCAAUGGGCGAAAGCCUGACGGAGCAACGCGGCGUGAGUGAUGAAGGUCUUCGGAUCGUAAAACUCUGUUAUUAGGGAAGAACAAAUGUGUAAGUAACUAUGCACGUAUUGACGGUACCUAAUCAGAAAGCCACGGCUAACUACGUG